CUUGGUCAUUUAGAGGAAGUAAAAGUCGUAACAAGGUUUCCGUAGGUGAACCUGCGGAAGGAUCAUUAUUGAAAUAAAUCAGAUGAGUUGCUGCUGGUUCUCUAGGGAGCAUGUGCACACUUGUCAUCUUUACAUUCUCCACCUGUGCACCUUUUGUAGACCUGGAUAUCUCUCUGUGUGCUUUAGCACUCAGGUUUGGAGGAUUGACUUUUCUGUCUUUCCCUUACCUUUCCCGGCCUAUGUUUCUUCAACUACCCAAUGUGUAUGUCAUUAGAAUGUAAUAAAUGGGCUUUUGUGCCUAUAAAUCUAUACAACUUUCAGCAACGGAUCUCUUGGCUCUCGCAUCGAUGAAGAACGCAGCGAAAUGCGAUAAGUAAUGUGAAUUGCAGAAUUCAGUGAAUCAUCGAAUCUUUGAACGCACCUUGCGCUCCUUGGUAUUCCGAGGAGCAUGCCUGUUUGAGUGUCAUUAAUAUAUCAACCUCUUCAACUUGCUUGUUUGAGUGUUUGGAUGGUUGGGGGGGUCAUUUUUUUGCUGGUCUCUUUCCUGAGGUCAGCUCCCCUGAAAUGCAUUAGCAGAACAAUUUGUGGACCCGUUCAUUGGUGUGAUAAAUAUCUACGCUAUUGACGUUAAGCAGUUCAGCUUCUAACAGUUCAUUGACUUGGACAAUAUCAUUAAUGUGACCUCAAAUCAGGUAGGACUACCCGCUGAACUUAAGCAUAUCAAUAAGCGGAGGAAAAGAAACUAACAAGGAUCCCCCUAGUAACUGCGAGUGAAGCGGGAAAAGCUCAAAUUUAAAAUCUGGCAGUCUCCGGCUGUCCGAGUUGUAAUCUAGAGAAGUGUUAUCCGCGUUGGACCGUGUACAAGUCUCCUGGAAUGGAGCAUCAUAGAGGGUGAGAAUCCCGUCUUUGACACGGACUGCCAGGGCUUUGUGAUGCGCUCUCAAAGAGUCGAGUUGUUUGGGAAUGCAGCUCAAAAUGGGUGGUAAAUUCCAUCUAAAGCUAAAUAUUGGCGAGAGACCGAUAGCGAACAAGUACCGUGAGGGAAAGAUGAAAAGAACUUUGGAAAGAGAGUUAAACAGUACGUGAAAUUGCUGAAAGGGAAACGCUUGAAGUCAGUCGCGUUGAUCGGGGAUCAACCUUGCUUUUGCUUGGUGCACUUUCUGGUUAAUGGGUCAGCAUCAAUUUUGACCAUUGGAAAAAGGUCAGGGGAAUGUGGCAUCUUCAGAUGUGUUUAUAGCCCUUGGUUGCAUACAGUGGUUGGGAUUGAGGAACUCAGCAUGCCGAAAGGCCGGGUUGUUUUUAACCACGUACGUGCUUAGGAUGCUGGCAUAAUGGCUUUAAUCGACCCGUCUUGAAACACGGACC
rnacentral:rRNA from 1 species